rnacentral:lncRNA from 1 species
GUCACGGAAACACCCUCGUCCGGCACCUCUCGGGCCCCCAGGACCCCUACCCGGCAGACAUGGUCCUCGGGCACUCUGACCGCCGGCCCGGCCCCUGGGUUUGGCUCGCUUCAGAUAAAAAAUUUUGAGCCAGGAUAUGCAGUUAAUGCUUCUUUUGCACCCAAAUCUAACCCUUAGGAGACUAAGCCGAAUGUGGCUUGGUUUGAAGAUUCUACAACCAAGUCCCACCUUUAGAGAUGAUGUCAUGGCCAUGGCCACCAGGAGAGUGAUCAGAAGCUACAGAGACAGCACAGCAGCUUCUCAGCAUUGAUAAAACUUAUGAGACAAGACAAAACAAGAGUGACAAUUUCCUAGAGACAUGAGAUUUUCAACAAGAGUUUCAGCAUAUAGAGCAUAUUCCCCUAGAGUUGGUAUAUCUAAUACAGCUGUGCUGAAAACUCAGAGCCUUGAACAUCCAUCAGAUUCACUUACUACGACAUUUUCUUUAUACUAUGUCUCAUAACAGCUAGGCCUGCAGUUGCAAUGAAAAGUAAAGUUAUGACUAAAAUUAUAUUACUAAGAUGAUAGUCAUUGUUUUCUGUAAGAAUUUGACAUCAGCCUAUUCUUCAGAUUCAGAAACUGAACCUUAGGACUCGUGGAAUGCUGUGAAGAUAGAAUGAACAAUCUGUGAAAAGUGCUUUGACUUGAUGUGUUACUUAUUACCAUCCUUAGUUUUACUUGUUUCUUUUUGAAGAUGGCCUAGAGAAAAAUAAAGGUAUUGCCAGUGGUGGUGGUGCACGCCUGUAAUACCAGUACUUGGGAGGCUGAGGCAGAAGGAUCGCUGUGAGUUCAAGACCAGCCUGGCCUAUAUAAUGAGUUCCAGGUCAUUCUUAACUACAUAGUGAGACGCAAUCUCAAAAAAACAACAACAAAAAAAUAAAGGCCUUAUUUGGAGAGAACAGCAUGAUUCAAUAGAGCAGCAUGAAGAAUAAAAACUGAACUUUGGUAUCACACUGUAAGUCUGGUUUUCAAUCUUCAGAUUAUAUCAGAAUUAGCUAGGGAACUUUGAAAAAAUUCCUAGUCGUAUCCCAGGCUUCUGAAAUCAAAUUUCCCAAAGAUAGGUUUAGAAGUCCGUAAAUACACAUACACAUACACACACACACACACACACACACACACACACACACACACACACACACA